rnacentral:rRNA from 1 species
CACCGGUCUAAGUUCCUGGAACAGGACGUCAUAGAGGGUGAGAAUCCCGUAUGCGACUGGCCGCCUUUGUUCAUGUGAAGCUCUUUCGACGAGUCGAGUUGUUUGGGAAUGCAGCUCAAAAUGGGUGGUAUAUUUCAUCUAAAGCUAAAUAUUGGCCAGAGACCGAUAGCGCACAAGUAGAGUGAUCGAAAGAUGAAAAGCACUUUGGAAAGAGAGUUAAACAGUACGUGAAAUUGUUGAAAGGGAAGCGCUUGCAACCAGACUUGCACGUUGCUGAUCAUCUGGGGUUCUCCCUAGUGCACUCGGUAACGUUCAGGCCAGCAUCGGUUUGGGUGGUUGGAUAAAGGCCUUGGGAAUGUAGCUCCUCUCGGGGAGUGUUAUAGCCCUCGGUGCAAUGCAGCCUACCCGGACCGAGGACCGCGCUUCGGCUAGGAUGCUGGCGUAAUGGUUGUAAGCGACCCGUCUUGAAACACGGACCAAGGAGUCUAACAUCUAUGCGAGUGUUUGGGUGUCAAACCCAUACGCGUAAUUAACGUGAACGGAGGUAAGAACCCUUAAGGGUGCAUUAUCGACCGAUCCUGAUGUCUUCGGAUGGAUUUGAGUAAGAGCAUAGCUGUUGGGACCCGAAAGAUGGUGAACUAUGCCUGAAUAGGGUGAAGCCAGAGGAAACUCUGGUGGAGGCUCGCAGCGGUUCUGACGUGCAAAUCGAUCGUCAAAUUUGGGUAUAGGGGCGAAAGACUAAUCGAACCAUCUAGUAGCUGGUUCCUGCCGAAGUUUC